rnacentral:rRNA from 1 species
UACGUAGGGACCGAGCGUUGUCCGGAAUCAUUGGGCGUAAAGAGCGUGUAGGCGGCCACUUAAGUCCUGCGUGAAAUCUUGCGGCUCAACCGCAAGCGGUCGUGGGAAACUGGGUGGCUAGAGUGCGGGAGAGGAGAGUGGAAUUCCUGGUGUAGCGGUGGAAUGCGCAGAUAUCAGGAAGAACACCAACGGCGAAGGCAGCUCGCUGGGACGGUACUGACGCUGAGACGCGAAAGCGUGGGGAGCGAACAGG